UAGCAGCACGUAAAUACUGGAGUCGAGGACUGCCUGGCUGCUCUCCAGUAUUGCAUUGCUGCUUGA
rnacentral:pre_miRNA from 1 species